GGCUUGUUUCAGCUCCGUACUUUUUUAAAAUUUUAUUCAGUAUUCUCGUGUAUUUCUUAGGGUUUCUCUUGUAUCCGUCUUUCUUAUAUAAUUCUCUCGAAGAGCAUGGUAGAGCCAAGUGGUGUAGUCUAUCCUGGGUUGUAACUGGCAUUCCCCAAUCCGCAAGGAAAUGCUGGGAGCCACGGCGGCGAUCUCGAAUCAGAGGACAAGCUGACUGCCUUCGCUCUCUUGAGGAGAGAAUCAUAUCUUCGUUCUGUUUCGAGGCGUUGCUUGCAUCGGCCGUAAGUUUCAACUGCCCGAAGAGUCCUCCUUCCAAAGUUGAAACCCUAGCUUCUGAUCUCGAAUGGUGGUGGAACUGAUGGAGUCCAGCUUCUUCCGGACAAGCAGUCCAAGGCACAGCAAUAGGAGAAAUCCCAGAAGUAACGGAAGGAUUAUGAUAAUCACAUACUUCUUAUUACUAGAAUCUCCCUCCGCAGAAUCUGCAUGGCAAGAUUUUAGAAUUUGG